GGAGACUCAGGACAAAAUGGAGGCGGCCGCUACCUAGGGGGCAUGCGUCAGGCGGCAAGUGCCUUCCUUCGGGAGGGAGGCCGUGGGUGACGCGACGGUGACAUAGCGGGUAGAAACCCAGACCGUGGGUCGUUUGGGUCCAAGUGUCAGCCAGUUCAGCAGGCGAUGGCGACUCCGUUUUCGGGUUAAUGUCCUGGCCCCGGCCUUUUGCCUUUCUUUGUUUACCUAUUUCCCGAUUUGGCCUCUUCCGUUCCAAACGGCCCUUCCCCGGAAAAUGUCCCGGCCUGUCAUUGUGCAGAGUCAUGCCGCCUUUCAUGUAACGUGCUGCACGCUACUUGCCCGUCAGUGUUAGCUGGGAGGGUCUCAUCUUAAUUACCAUGCGGACUGCUUACUGUCUUAUUCUUCAUGCUCAUUAACUGCUUUUCGCCAAUCCCAGGGGACUGAGGAAGACCCGGAAACUCCAGGGUCACGUGAGCUGUGGCCAUGUGAGCAUAGGUAAGCACCGCUGCAAGCACCCAGGAGGCUGUGGGGAGGCUGGAGGCAUGCAUCACCACAGGAUCAACUUGACAAAUAUCAUCCAGGUUACUUUGGGAAAGUUGGUAUGAGGCACCAGAGCUCCUGCCCAACUGUCAACCUAGAUAAAUUGUGGACGUUGGUCAGCGAGCAGAUGCGGGUCAAUGUAGCAAAAAAUAAGACUGGAGCUGCUCCCAUCAUUGAUGUUCGAUCAAGUUACUACAAAGUUCUGGGCUCGGAUAGCUCCCCAAGCAACCUGUCAUCGAGAAGGCCAAAUCCUUCAGCAGAAGAGCUGAAAAGAAGAUUAAGGCUGUUGGAGGUGCCUGGGUUCUGGUGCCUUAAAAGCCAUGCUGGAGGUUAAUUAUAUGCUAACAUUUAAAAAAAAAGAAUAUUUUGAUGAGCUGUUGUAACUAUAGCUCUGUAGCCUACUACAAUUCUGCUCUGUGGACUGUAGGAAUUGAAUCUAGGUCUUUGGGCAACAAGCUGUUGAGCUGCUUCGCCACCCCCACUUAUUCCUUUCAUAAGACUCAACUUCAACAGUAAGCUUUCAUGUGCCUAAAUAAAAUGGGCUGCUUAGUGCUAGGUAGAGCCUUGCUUAGCAUGAGUGAUGUCUUGGGUUGCAUCCUCAAUACCACAAAAAUGAAUAGUAGUUAUGAUUAUUUUCUUAAUUCACAGCUUCUCUUUCUAACUCUGUAGAACAGUUUUCUUCUAAUCCAGUUGCUUUGGCAAUCGUGCUUAUGGAAUUUUCGGUUAUCAAAUAUUUAACUUUUCCUGUAGAGUCACACCUGCCAAUAUAUUCUCUCACAGUUCUUUUGAAAAAAGGGUUUAUUUACUUACUUAUUUGCAGGCAUGUGUGCUUUGUGAUGUUAAUACACAUACUGUGGUGUGUAUGUGGAAGUUGGUUCUGUCCUUGCACUAUGUGUGAACCCAGGUUACCAGGUUUGGCAGCAAGCUCCUUUACCAGCUGAGCCAUCUGGGCAGCCCUUCAGGUAGUUUUGAAUUGAUUGUGUUGCUAGAUGCCAAACUUUGGGUUUGGCAGUUAUUUAUUUAGUGGGCUUGAGAUACAUCUUCUGCUUUCGUGAAUUUGAGAGUCACUAAUAAGAGAUUUGGUGUUCUUAUGUUUCUGCCUUUGUAGCAGAUUAUCCUAUCCCCUUCCUGCUCUUGUAGCUCAGUUGACAUGUCCUCUCCUGUCCCCAGCUCCUCAUAUUAUUUCUUUGCUCUGUAUCCCUGAUAUCUUGACUGUAAUGUAUUGUGGAGAAGUUCUUUUCUAGUCAUGUUUAUUUAAGGUUCUAAGUGUAUUUCUAGAAAAAAAAUAGAUAUUCACACAGUAGAAAAUUUGUUACAAUUUCAUUGAAUAAAUCUAUGCCAUUAUUAUAUGUGUAAGCUCCUUCUAGCUGCAGACCCUUGGAUUUGAUCUCUUAUUCAUAGCCUAGAAUGUUUGAACCUUGUGGUCAUGAUAAUUAUUUAUUUUUUCUUAUUGAUAUAUUUUUCUUUUCUUUUCUUUUCUUUUUUUUUUUUUUUUUUUUGAGACAGGGUUUCUGUACAUAGCCUUGGCUUUCUUGUAACUUUCUCUGUACACCAGGCUGGCCUUGAACUCAGAGAUUCAUGGAUUUAAAGGUGUGUAGCAGGUUGUAAAAAAAUUUUGAUUGUAUCUGAUCAAGUUUGUCAUCUGGGCUUAUUUCCUAGGCUUCUGAUGUCCUUCUCAGAAGGUCCUGUCCUCUACCUAGAUCUUGAGGCAUUUUGCCUAAACUUUUCUUUUUAGCAGCUUCAGAGCUUCAACCUUUACAUUCAAACCAUUGAUCCAUUUGGAAUUGAUUUUUAUACAGUGUGAGAGAUAGGAAUCCACUUCCAUUCUUUUACAUGUGAAUAUCUAGUGUUCCCAGUGCCAUUUGUUGAACAGGCUACCUUUACUCCAAUAUAUAUAUAAAUAAAAGAUAACUGGGGCUAGAGAGAUGACUCAGCAGUUAUAAGCACUUGCUGUUCUUAGGAUCUGACACCCUCCUCUGGCCUCCACAAAGACACCAGUAAACAUAAAAAUUAUCUUUUG
ensembl:antisense B230369F24Rik RIKEN cDNA B230369F24 gene